ACCCACGCGGCGCAGCUCCCAAAGUUGCAGACAGCCCGGCGAACCGCGCAAUGCGCUUCUUCUGCCUGCAGCAGAGAAAAGGAAAGAAAACUCCGCAGGGGCUCCGUUGGCUUCUCCACGAGUGACAACCAUGUUUUCCCAGAUAGAAGACCGGAGCCCUGCUCCUUUGCGAUCCGCCGAGGGCUGCAGAGAGCAUCCUCAUCCAUUUGGGCACCCCUGCCCAGGAAGAGCCCGGCCAUCCCUUUCCGGACUGGAUCCUUAAGAGGUGAAUUUUCUUCCGUGGAUUCCGAUUUGCUCCGUCUGACCAGCCUAGGCAAUCCAGCAUCGCGUGGUACCAGUGCCGCUGGGCACACUGGCUUCACGCCGGCUCCGCCUCACCAGCAAGCGCAUUCCCAGGUGGUCAGGCUCAGGAUGGACCAUGAGCUUUCAAAAAGGAAAAAGGUGGAAAUCCUCAACUAUGCUGCCAUCUGAAUAAGUGUUUCUUUGUAGAUGCACAGAGUCAAGGAAAAUUACAUCCCUGCAUUAUGUAAUGUACCAACAACGCACUUACCCACUGUUUUAAUCUAGGUUAUUCUUGAAAGCAGAGCCUGAGACAAAGGUAGACACAUUCUAUUUAUGAGUCUAACACCCAGGAGCAGGAAUGAGAGAUAGGGGAGUGAACUGGGGAAAAGGGAAACUAAGUCCGAGCAAAACCAGAUACUGCUCUUAUCAAGUGGUCCACCCCUAUUAAUGGCUACAUAAUGCAGAACUUUCUCAGGAUUCUUCUUAAACUUUAUCUCAGAACUGUCUGCCUCAGGGAGAAAGGAGAAGUAUUUCUCCAUCAGCAGCCACCUCCUGUGUGUUGAGGGCUGCUCCUUUGGGGCAUUAACCCACUGCCUCCACCACCCCAACCCUCUGGGCUGCAAAGAGCUAGCUGACAGUCCAGCUGGUACCUUAGCAUCACACAUUGCUGCAUCAGAGAGGUCUUAAGACAGGAAGCUAGAGUCUUGGUGCAUGCUCGAAGUGAGACGGUGUCAGCACAGAGCAGGGUAAAAUCUUCCCGUUAACUCUUCACCAGAGCUAUGACUGGAAUCAGAGGUUGAAAAGAUGUGAGACUGUACCCAAGAAGCAUCUUAUAAGCCUACGUAAUAUACUGUUAGACUCAUCGAAAUCUAUUUCCUCCCUUCUUUAUAAUCAAAACUUCAGUGUCCAGAAUAAAGUUGGCAGAAGGGUUAAAUUGGAAAGUUAAAUGUACUAGAAGGUGUACAUUUAUAAGUUUUGACCUUGAGUCGUGUUCAAGGAGAAAGUGACAUUGGAACUUGGAAAAUUUAAAAAUGAUUCUACUUGAAAAAUUUGACCAUUGCAUAGAAAUAUUAGCUAUCGUCUAAUCUUUUGUAAUCUUAGAAACAAUCGUGAAUUGUUUGGUGAAAAAUGAAAAAAUAACCAUUUCUUAUGUCUCCGUGACCUUUAUAGACCAAUGUCACCAACUUUUCCUAAGGUAAUUGUUUCCUACUGUCAAAUAGCUCUAGUGAUAUAAAUCUUAACAAUCAAUGAAGGGAAAACUGGUGGAAACAUAGGAGGAAAAAUACUGGGAUAAUUUUCAUCACAAAGUAUUGGCAUUAACAUUGGUUAGAAUAGGGGAGAAACUGCAUGACUUGACAACUGGACAUUCCUGUAUGUUGUAUGAGGCCCUGUCUUAACAGAAAUAGUGAUGUCAUCAUCAUCCUCUCUUAUUUGGUCUUGAAUUGCCACCAAUCGGAUAAAACCUUUGAAUUAUUUAACUCAAUAUAUGUUAAGUUUCUACUAUGUGCUGUGUAUUGGUACUAUAAAUAUGAAUAAGACAUAAGAUAUUACAUUCAAAAACAUCAGAAUACAUGUUCUUUUAAAGUAUACCCCAAAACAUUUACCAUGUGUUCUGGGGCGCAUGUUAGGCUGGAUCACAAAUCAAGUCUCAAGAAUUUCAAAAGAUUGAAAUCAUAUAGAGUAUGAAUUAAACCAGAAAUCAAGUACAUAAAGGUAACAAAAAAUUUCCAAAAUGCAUUAAUUUAAGGAACAUACACCUCAUGACCCAUGAGCCAAAAAAUAAAUCACGGCAAAAUUGCAAAAAUAUUUUGAAAUGAAUUUUAAAGAAAAUACUUAGCAUAUUAAAUACUUAGCAUAUUAAAGCUCUAAGUACAUAUGUUAGAAAUUUUACCGAAAGGUUGGCUAUCAGUGUUUCCAGAAGCCAGGGAAAAAGUUUAUACAAUUUGAUCGCUGAGGCAGGGAAACAAAGUGAGACCUCCGAUCGCCCUGCCUUUCUGAGGUGAGCACUCUGGAUCCCAUCGCAGGAGAUCAGAGUCUUGCUGAGUUGAGGAGAGGAAGAUUGGAGUUGAUACUGAGAUAGCUUGAAUUUUCAGGACAAAGUAUCAACAAGGAGGAAGGUAGACAAAAAAAUCCAGAAAUCUAUGUAGAGACCCCAUUGUGUACAUUGCGGAACACUAAGCCUAACAAUUCUCAAAAUUAGCGUGAGAUUGGGAAAUAUCUAAUUUCCAUCCAGCCACAGUGGAGAGUCCUGACUGAAAACCAGGCAUUCGCUAAAGAUCCCAGAAAGGUUGUGUGUUACAUACGUAGGGCUAAACUAUCCUGACUAAAAACUACACUACACUUGCUCCUCACCCCCACAAAAAGCUUAAAAACAAGCCUCAAUAGUAUAAAGCUGAUCUGUAAGUAACUAAACUACCUGCAGAACAAAGUCCAAAUUUAUUAGUUCCAGUACUCCAAAAAAAACACAUGUAAAAAAAAAAUAGAUUUACAAGACAUUUAUUUGGGGAAAAAAAGAAUGCCUGAGGGUUGAAAUGGAGAGGAAGCCAGAGAGACAGAGUCCUCAGAAUACAUAAAAUUUCUGGCCUCCAUGGAGGUGUGAUGGUUAAUUUUAUGCAUGUCAACUUCGCUGGGCCACAGGAUGCCCCAUAUAUGAUCGAACAUUAUUUCUGGUUGUGUUCAUGAAGCUUUUUCUGGAGGAAAUUCGCAUUUGAAUUGAUGGACUGAAUAAAGCAGAUUGCAGUCCCCAGUGUGGAUGGGCUUGAUCCAGUCUUCUAAGGACCCAAAUAAAAUAGGUGGAGGAAGCUUGAAUUUUCUGCCUGACUGUGGCGCUGGGACACCCAUCUUCUCCUGCCCUUGAACUGGGACUGACACCAUCAGUGCUCCUGGUUCUCAGACCUUCGGACAGCAGACUUGGGGCCUUCUCGGCCUCCAUUAUUGUGUAAGCCAAUUCCUUAUAAUAAAUAAGGGUUUAUUUAUUG
rnacentral:lncRNA from 1 species